UUGUAAUUAAAAUGGGGGCUUUUUUAUAUUUAGUCCUCUAAAAAAUUUUAUAAAUAGUCUUAUAAAAUUUAUAUUUACAAGAUUAAUUCUAUCCUUGCAACGUAAGCGCCACGUGAGCGUGGAUGGAAGUAUAGGUUAAGUUGAACACGAUGAACCAUAUAUCGAUAUUUCAUUAUUUUUCUACCAUGGUAUUACGUAAUAUUUGAAGUUUAGGAUAUAAAAAGGAUACGAUGAAUUAAUUCACCGUAUCCAAAUAUGAUAAAUGAUUCAUCAUAUUUAACUUAACCUACCACUACGCCGACGUGGCGCUCGCGUAGUGCUUGCGUGACGAUGAUAGGACAAAUCUUGCAAAUAUAAAUUUUGUGAGAUUAUUUGUAAAAAAAAAUUCUGAGGAGCUAAAUGCAAACAAAAA
rnacentral:lncRNA from 1 species